UGGGGAAUAUUGCACAAUGGAGGGAACUCUGAUGCAGCGACGCCGCGUGAACGAAGAAGGCUUUCGAGUCGUAAAGUUCUUUUAUAUGGGAAGAUAAUGACGGUACCAUAAGAAAAAGCCCCGGCUAACUACGUGCCAGCAGCCGCGGUAAUACGUAGGGGGCUAGCGUUGUCCGGAAUCACUGGGCGUAAAGGGUUCGCAGGCGGAAAUGCAAGUAAGGUGUAAAAGGCAGUAGCUUAACUACUGUAAGCAUUUGAAACUGCAUAUCUUGAGAAGAGUAGAGGUAAGUGGAAUUUUUAGUGUAGCGGUGAAAUGAGUAGAGAUUAAAAAGAAUACCGGUGGCGAAGGCGACUUACUGGGCUCAUUCUGACGCUGAGGAACGAAAGCGUGGGUAGCAAACAGG
rnacentral:rRNA from 1 species